rnacentral:rRNA from 1 species
UACAGUGGGUGCAAGCGUUAAUCGGGAUUACUGGGCGUAAAGCGAGCGUAGUCGGUUAUUUAAGUCGGAUGUGAAAUCCCCGGGCUCAACCUGGGAAUUGCAUUCGAUACUGGAUAGCUAGAGUUCGGCAGAGGGAAGCGGAAUUUCUGGUGUAGCGGUGAAAUGCGUAGAUAUCAGAAGGAACAUCAGUGGCGAAAGCGGCUUCCUGGACCAGAACUGACGAUCAGGCUCGAAAGCGUGGGGAGCAAACAGG